ACAAAAACAACCAAUAGUUUAAUCAAAAGCAGAAGAAACAACAAGCUAGGUAAUAACAAACUCAGAUAAACUAAUUCCAUCAUAAUAUAUACAUGACUUGCUGUCAAAAAAAAAGAACUUUGGAACCAUGUAUUAAACCACUUACAAGUAUUAUCAAAAUCAACCAUAAGCCAAAUGAAAGAGCUUUGGAACCUUGUAUUUACCCUUAAGCUUGUAGAAAAGUUCUUCAUAUACAAGUGCCCCAAAUUCAAAGUAGUCCAUAAGCCAAAUGAAAGACCUUUGGAACCUUGUAUUUACCCUUAAGCUUGUAGGAAAGUUCUUCAUAUACAAGUGCCCCAAAUUCAAAGUAGUGUCUAGUGGAAAUAGAUUUACAUAAAAGCACUCCUGGAACCAAUAUCCAAAUGUCAAAUUCACUGCAAAAAUCAAAGUACUAUACAUGCAAGAUGCACAAAUUAAAUGAGCCAUGUUUCUAAAGUACUAGAACAUAAAUUUGACACAAUUUCUUACUUCAAUAAAAUUUGACAACAACUUAUAUGGUUAACAUUCUUAUUCCAAUCACAUUAAUAACUUCUUAGUUUCGUACAUCAACAAGUAUCUUAAACAAGCUUUAAUUGUAGUUGCAGCUGUAGGUGCCACCAUUAAAACAAAUCAAAAUCAUGAUUAAAACUAACUCAAAUAAGUUAAGCACAAAAGUAUAAUGUUAUGUAAUAGGGAAGCAAUUCAUAAGUAAAAAAUGCAUAACGACGACGUUCAAUCUAAGGUAUGGAAGUUAACAAUAUUUUUAAGAUCCAAAAAUAAGACAAAAAAUCAGUAGGUACAAUUAGGUGGCAAAUUCAGUAUCAUUAACCUAUUUCAAACUUGAAUAAAAGUAUGAGCCAAUGACAUACCAGAGCAUAAACACAUACUUUCCUACCUAAUAUCUUAGUCCUUGUCUUUCCAUUGCCUCAUCCAAACAAGCAACCAUAUAUAUGUUGUCGCGGAUGGCUGGUAAACAAAUAACCGGAGGCGUGUAGUCACUGAACUAAGGAAUUAUCCGCAAGAUAUUGCGCAACUCCCCCAGAAUACAACCGGUUCUUCUCGACGAUAAACAUGCCGAGGCUAUCAAUACACGAGAAAUGACAACAUGGUAGGCAACUCAGACACUCGUUGAAAUUAUAUCUUUAGUUUGUUUUCACGCAUAGCCUUAUAUAGUCAUGAAAGUAAGUUUUUUCACUUAACAAGAAUGGGCCGUACUCCUUAUAUAUGUAUAAGAACAAAGCAUUAGUAAGCUAUUUAUUCUCAAUUAAAACAAUAAUGUCCCAAUUAAUUAGCAUUAGAAAACGGUAACAGUAACGGCUAAUUGAGUUAAAAUAGGAAGUAGUA
rnacentral:lncRNA from 1 species